AGUAAUGUAUGGGGAUCUGCCCGAUAGAGGGGGGUAACUACUGGAAACGGUGGCUAAUACCGCAUAAUGUCUACGGACCAAAGCAGGGGCUCUUCGGACCUUGCACUAUCGGAUGAACCCAUAUGGGAUUAGCUAGUAGGUGGGGUAAAGGCUCACCUAGGCGACGAUCUCUAGCUGGUCUGAGAGGAUGAUCGGCCACACUGGGACUGAGACACGGCCCAG
rnacentral:rRNA from 1 species